CUUACGGGAGGCAGCAGUGAGGAAUAUUGGUCAAUGGCCGGAAGGCUGAACCAGCCAAGUAGCGUGAAGGAUGACGGCCUUAUGGGUUGUAAACUUCUUUUUUAUGGGAAUAACGAUAGUCACGUGUGAGUAUGUGCAUGUACCAUACGAAUAAGGAUCGGCUAACUCCGUGCCAGCAGCCGCGGUAAU
rnacentral:rRNA from 1 species